rnacentral:lncRNA from 1 species
CAGGCACUGGAAGAGUCUGCAGUGACAGAAAUGCUUCUGAAUGCAUAACAUGAACUAUACACAAUGCCUUGAAUUACACUAUUGUGGAACUAGGAUGGCACCAGAUGGAUGGUGAAGUGGUGGAAUUCCCUGCAAGACCCUGAUGCCUGCUGGCUGGCAUGAGAAGGACCUACACAUCUGGGAAAUGGAGUUCCAGGUUCAAUUGCUCUCCACUUUAAAGGAUGGCUGUAUUUCUAAGUGCCUUCCAGGGACUUUUGUGAACAGGAACAGUACAUUGUCCCUCCAGGAUGGAGGGAGUUGUGUUCCUGCCCUGUGACCAUCUCCAAGCCACGUGGCCAGAGAUUAAAAACUACAUGUGCAAGACUAUGGAUGCAUCUAUAAAGAAACAGGAAAAACAAGACCCAUAUGCACAUUCAGAGCAUGAGAAAGGCCCAAGAUGCCUUAACUUCCUACAUGAUCUUAAUUUUCACAAAAAUGUCUCAUUUUGUUCCAAAAACACCCAUUUCAAUAUGAACGCAAAUAAUUCAACUGCCCUUCUGCUGUAGAUUGAAUUGGCUUAAAAGAUAUGUUGCCUUUUGCAUGGACAUAGCUGAGACUGUGCUUCAGUUCUCUGGCUAUUUUUACACUGCCUGUCCUUCAGAAAAGAAGAUCUGACACAGCACAGAAUAUAUAAAAAAGAAGGGUAACAUAGGAUCCAAGUGUAUUAAAUAAAUAAAUACUCUUUGUAGGAGACA